UGUUCCAUCAGUGAUUGAUAAUAAAAAGUGCACUACUUGCUACAACUUUCUAUAAAAUAUAAUACCGCGGUACAUAGUCCAUUAUUGCGAUUAUUAAAACGAAAUUAACAGUCCGGAUAAUACAUAGCGCCUAUCCCGCAGCGGGCAAGCGCAUGCGCAUUGUAAGUACAAUUUGAAAUCCAGUGUUUACAAUGCCACGGAAGACGGGAAGCAGAGAAGAAAGUUAACAGUUUCUGUCCUUUCUCUGAAGAAGGAUGCACUGAAAACCAUUCACAGACUACAUGUACAGAUGUCCUAAUAAUUCAAAGUAUGGCCCAGAACCAGUAGACGGAGAUGCCGACCGCUAACUUCACAAGUUUAAAAAAUAAAUCAAUAAAGUAUGCAUUGAAAAAUA